rnacentral:sRNA from 1 species
UUUUCUCCAAGUCAGCAGCCUUGGGCAGAGUGGGGUUCAGCGGUCACCAUAGUCAGGCCCUUGGCCACCCCCACCAAGGGCCCCAGCUAUCCAGGGGCUCCCCCUACCACAUGGGAGGCCUGAGAAGUCGGGGCUUAGGAGGACCUCAUGUAGGGUCCCCAUGUGGGGACCAGGGCAGCCCUUGGGGAGCCCCAGGAUGAUGGGGGAGGCACAGCCCUGCCCUAGGGAGCCCCAGACUGAUGGGGGAAGCACAGCCCUGCUGUUAGGGAGCCACCGGCUGACGGGGGAGGCCCAGCCCUGCCCUAGCGAGUCCCAGAGUGAUGGGGGAGGCACAGCCCUGCUCUUAGGGAGCCCUACACUGAUGGAAGAGGCACAGCCGUACCCUCAGGGAGCCCCAAACUGAUGGGGGAGGCAUAGCCCUGCUGAGCCUCAAGGAGUCCUGGACUGAUGGAGGAACCACAGUUCUCAGGCUUCCCCAGAACUGACGAGGGAGGCACAGCCCUGCCCUCAGGGAUUCUGACCACAGGACACACAGCCCAGAGCCAGCUCUGUGGCAGACAGGGUCUCCUACACUUGGAGCCCAGGGCCUGAGCGGGCGCCGUGAGGUGAGUGUGGGCCCUGGGCAGAGGAGGCAGCAGCCGCCCAGUCCUAAGCUCUCCCCUGCUACCCUCAGCCUCAGCCUGAAGCCCUCAGAGGCCCAUGAACUGGAUGAGGACGAGGGCUUUGGUGACUGGUCCCAGAGGCCAGAGCAGCGGCAGCAGCACGAGGGGGUGCAGGGCACCUCAGACAGCGCAGAGCCCCGCUGGUGCAGGAAUCCUGAGGGGGAACAAGAGGACAGAUCCAGCCUGCAAGCCUGCGAAAAGGAGGACAGUGACGAUGUCCACCUGGAGGAGUUGAGUCUGAGCAAGGAGGGGCCAGACACAGAGGACACUGUCCAGGACAACCUGGGGGCCGCAGGGGCUGAGGAGGAACAGGAGGAGCACCAGAAAUGUCAGCAGCCCAGGACACCCAGCCCCUUGGUCUUGGAGGGGACCACUGAACAGAGCUCGCCUCCCCUGAGCCCUACCACCAAACUCAUCGACAGGACCGAGUCCCUAAACCGCUCCAUAGAGAAGAGUAACAGUGUGAAGAAAUCCCAGCCAGACUUGCCCAUCUCCAAGAUUGACCAGUGGCUGGAACAAUACACCCAGGCCAUCGAGACCGCUGGCCGGACCCCCAAGCUAGCCCGCCAGGCCUCCAUAGAGCUGCCCAGCAUGGCUGUGGCCAGUACCAAGAGUCGGUGGGAGACGGGUGAGGUACAGGCUCAGUCUGCGGCCAAGACUCCGUCCUGCAAGGAUAUUGUGGCUGGAGACAUGAGCAAGAAAAGCCUCUGGGAGCAGAAGGGAGGCUCCAAGACCUCAUCAACAAUUAAGAGCACCCCAUCUGGGAAGAGGUAUAAGUUUGUGGCCACCGGGCAUGGGAAGUAUGAGAAGGUGCUUGUGGAAGGGGGCCCGGCUCCCUAGGCCUCCCAUCUCGCUUCCUGGGUCUGCAGGUCCAGCCGGGUUGCACCCUCCAUGUACCUAGGGGAGAUUCCAGCCAGACACCCGCCCCCUGGCCCUGGCUAAGAAGUUGCUUCCCGUUGCCAGCAUGACCUACCCUCGCCUCUUUGAUGCCACCCACUGCCACCUCCUUUUGCUCUUGGACCCUUUAGCCUCUCUGCCCUUCCACUCUCAGACCACCGCCCCCCACCCACCCCAGCUCUGCUUCUCAUUACUUGGGGGAGGAAAGAAACUCCUGAUCAUUGGCCAAAGGGACUUACCCCUGGAGAGGCCAAGUGCCUUCUAGGAAGUUAGGAGGUUGAGGCACAGCCUGUGCAGAGAGGGCGGGUCACCCCCCAGAUCCAAGGGGAAACUGCAGGUCAAGGGCUGAUAACGGCCAUGCAGGAUGCUUGAUGCUGCGUCCCCCCGCACUCUGCUUGCCGCCCCCCACCCCGCCAUUUUGUAUAAUAAAGCUUCCUGUGUAUUCUCAUGUG